CGACCCCAGGUCAGGCGGGAUUACCCG
rnacentral:ncRNA from 3 species